rnacentral:rRNA from 1 species
CACAUGCAGUCGAACGAGAAUCUACUUAUGAAAUUUUCGGAUGGAUUAGGUAGAGGAAAGUGGCGAACGGGUGAGUAACGCGUGAGCAAUCUGCCUUGUACUGGGGGAUAACGUCGGGAAACCGGCGCUAAUACCGCAUAAUACUAUGAGAUCGCAUGGUCAUAUAGUCAAAACUCCGGUGGUACAAGAUGAGCUCGCGUCCAAUUAGCUAGUUGGUGGGGUAAUGGCUCACCAAGGCGACGAUCGCUAGCUGAAUUGAGAGGAUGAUCAGCCACAUUGGGACUGAGACACGGCCCAGACUCCUACGGGAGGCAGCAGUGGGGAAUAUUGCACAAUGGA